rnacentral:rRNA from 1 species
UGUGCCAGCAGCCGCGGUAAUACGUAGGGUGCAAGCGUUAAUCGGAAUUACUGGGCGUAAAGCGUGCGCAGGCGGUUUUGUAAGUCUGUCGUGAAAUCCCCGGGCUCAACCUGGGAAUUGCGAUGGAGACUGCAAGGCUAGAAUCUGGCAGAGGGGGGUAGAAUUCCACGUGUAGCAGUGAAAUGCGUAGAGAUGUGGAGGAACACCGAUGGCGAAGGCAGCCCCCUGGGUCAAGAUUGACGCUCAUGCACGAAAGCGUGGGGAGCAAACAGGAUUAGAUA